rnacentral:rRNA from 1 species
UACGUAGGGGGCAAGCGUUGUCCGGAAUCAUUGGGCGUAAAGAGCGUGUAGGCGGCCAUUCAAGUCGGGGGUGAAAGCCCAGGGCUCAACCCUGGAAUUGCCUUCGAUACUGUUUGGCUAGAGACCGGAAGAGGUAAGUGGAACUGCGAGUGUAGAGGUGAAAUUCGUAGAUAUUCGCAAGAACACCAGUGGCGAAGGCGGCUCACUGGCCCGGUACUGACGCUGAGGUGCGAAAGCGUGGGGAGCAAACAGG